ACUCGAGUGGCGAACGGGUGAGUAACACGUGGGUGAUCUGCCUUGCACUUCGGGAUAAGCCUGGGAAACUGGGUCUAAUACCGGAUAGGAACCGUCUUUAGUGUGGUGGUUGGAAAGUUUUUCGGUGCAAGAUGAGCCCGCGGCCUAUCAGCUUGUUGGUGGGGUAGUGGCUCACCAAGGCGAUGACGGGUAGCCGGCCUGAGAGGGCGACCGGCCACACUGGGACUGAGACAUGGCCCAG
rnacentral:rRNA from 1 species